UGACUGCCGGUGACAAACCGGAGGAAGGUGGGGAUGACGUCAAAUCAUCAUGCCCCUUAUGAUUUGGGCUACACACGUGCUACAAUGGACAAUACAAAGGGCAGCGAAACCGCGAGGUCAAGCAAAUCCCAUAAAGUUGUUCUCAGUUCGGAUUGUAGUCUGCAACUCGACUACAUGAAGCUGGAAUCGCUAGUAAUCGUAGAUCAGCAUGCUACGGUGAAUACGUUCCCGGGUCUUGUACACACCGCCCGUCACACCACGAGAGUUUGUAACACCCGAAGCCGGUGGAGUAACCUUUUAGGAGCUAGCCGUCGAAGGUGGGACAAAUGAUUGGGGUGAAGUCGUAACAAGGUAGCCGUAUCGGAAGGUGCGGCUGGAUCACCUCCUUU
rnacentral:rRNA from 1 species